UGCUGCAGAACUUAUCUCCACAUCAUGAGGGAACAUACACCUGUGAACUGAGUGAUGCUGAGGAGACACUGACAACCAACACCUUUCUGAGGAUGGAGAAUCCAGGGAAAUUAACCAUUGGCACAGGUGUGGUGGUUAUAAUUAUUUUGGCUGUCGUCGUAGCAGCAGCAGCAGUUGUUGUCUUGGUACUGCACUGUAUAAAGAAAAAAGGGCAGUGGGACACAAACAACACUUCAAUGAAUCAACGUCUCGUCAGAGAGGUGGAAACCUGACCUUCACCCCUCUGUCCCAGUCACAUAUGCUGACUCUGUUGAAAGACUGCGGGCAUGGAGACAAUCAUUCAUUCAUUCAUAUGGAAAACAAGCAGGAGAGACAAAUGACCUUCUUCACCAGAGACUGAAUGUUUUGAUGUUACUCCACAUUCAUGUGUUGUGGAGAAAGUAAAAUCUUUCUCUGUGGUGGAAAACAUCAGGAGCCAUCGUGAGAGACAUGAGAUGCUGACAUGAACUUCCUCAGGGAACUUUUAUUUCUGUCAUCAAGUGUACAGUCACAUGACUGUGGGGGCAGUUUAAAGUACAUCCUCUUUUCCACAUUGCUUAGUAACAAUUGCUACAACUGUCCACUGAUUUGUGCAAAUGUAUAAAAACACCUUUGUUGUUUA